rnacentral:lncRNA from 1 species
GCCAUUGCUCUGUGGGUCCCAAGAUCCGGACUUAGAGGACGCGGGGAGGGCGGGGCGGCGCCCGGCUUCCGGGUAGUGGCAGGUGAGGCCGCGUGGGGCCAGCGGCGGCUCCUUGCUGGUCUGUGGCUCUGGGCCCAAGACCCGAGCCUCCUACAGGGGCGGCCCCCUGCCUGAGGCGCGGGUGGGUUCCGACCUCCGAGAGCCGGUGUGGAAGCACUGAGGGGCCCCUACUUUUGCCCCCGAAGUCAGCGGGGCAACAGCCGCUCCCUUGCAGGAGCCGGGCCGUGGGCUGAGGGCCCCGGUGGGUGAGAUCGGUGACCCCCGAAAACUCCGACCAAAGAGCUGCAGCAAGAAAGGAGUUGGUUCCCACAAACCGCCCAGAGUCAAGGAACUAAAAUCAGUCUGAUGGCAGCUGCACAAGAUGGGAAGGAGUAAUCCUUGAAAUUAGACCAAGGAAGCACGUGAAGUGUGUUUGCUCUCAGCCACCAGCCUCAGAAGAGCUCAAGUCCAGGUAGGGUACAUUUUACCUGAGAUCUACUCUGGGGUGUCUUCCCUUGGUCACAGCCUGCUCCCAGGCACUCCUGGUGAGUUGGGUCUCUUUCCUACAUGUUGUGUAGCAUUAUUGUCCCAUAUUCACAGUGAGCUGUCCGAUUCCCAGGAGCAGAAGCCUGUUUCUGAAGCAUCCAAUCAGUCUAGAAAUAAUAGUCUAGUUAUCUGAUUUUUCACAGCUCUUUGCCUUUUCCUUGCACUGAGGAGUUAGGUAGCUAACUUUAUUCACAUCAAACAGCUAUGGAAGUUAAAGUUAUCUCAGAUUCGGAGCUAUAGACAUUACUUAAGAAGCGCUGUGGUUCUUUAAGUAUAUUCACGUCAUAAGCACUCAGCAAACCAGGUUAUUCAAGAAUCCUCUUAUCUCAGAAAGCUGAUUACAUUAUAUAAAUUAUCAAGGCAUUUAUUUCAAAGAUACUGAGAAAAAUCAGAGCAUUCUUGUCAGGUGUCUGUGGCACUUUGGCACUUGACCCCAACAUUCUUAAACAUCCUCUCAUCAAGAGCAAGAGUGCCCCACACGCUUCUCUGAACCAGGAUGAGCCAGUGACUGCUUUGACCAAUUAAGUAUGAUAGAAAGGUUGCUAUGUGACUUUUCAGGCUGGAUCUGAAAAAGCCAUGCCAGUUUUGCUUUCUUUUCUUUGGAUACUUGCUCUGAGAGAAGUCUGCUGCCACAUAGAGUGUAUCUCCCCUAAGAAAGUCAUGCUGGAAAGGCCUUCUGGUCACAGCCCUGCUCAGCUUCCAGCAACAGCCAGCAUCCACUGCCAGCCAUGUGGACAGGCCAUCUUGGGUGUCCCCAGAUGUGUUGACGACUCAGCUCAGUGGAGCCUUCAGAUUGUUGCAGUCUCCACCAACAUCUGACUGCAACCUCUUGAGAAAUGCCUUGUGACAGCAAAGCAGCCAAGCCCUUCCGUAACUCAUAACCCACAAAAUCAUUUAAAAAGAUCGUUUUUAACAAAUUGGUUUUCGGUUCAUACCACUAAAGUUUUAGGGCAAUUUGUUUUACAGUGCCAUUGGGAAAGAAGUUUCUCCCCUUUGACACACCUCCUCACCAUUCCAGCUGCUCACUUUCACUUCUGAGUGUUUGUGCUGUAGUUGCUUCAGUCCAUAUCUUCUUGGGUUUAUCUUUUCAUACUUUACACAUAUACACACACAGCCACAUAGGCACAGCCACCCACAUAGAAAAUUGAUCACUUGGCUCAGUUCUACUCCCCAGAUGACUUCAUUCAGACCUCAUUUUUCAGCUGGGAAAAAAAAAAAAAAAAAAAAAAAAAAA